rnacentral:rRNA from 11 species
AAUUAUGACCCAAUUAUUCCAAAGGCACCAGAUCCUAUCUAAUUUUUGGAAGCUAAGCAGGGUUGGUUCUGGUUAAUACCUAGAUGGGGGACUGCCAAAGAAUAUCAAGUGAGGGCUAUAAUUC